rnacentral:tRNA from 1 species
CACCCCAUAGCUCAGCUGGCUAGAGCACCACACUUUUAAUGUGGGAGUCCUGGGUUCAAAUCCCAGUGGGGUGA